rnacentral:rRNA from 1 species
AGAGUUUGAUCAUGGCUCAGGACGAACGCUGGCGGCGUGCCUAAUACAUGCAAGUCGAGCGAGCUUGCCUAGAUGAUUUUAGUGCUUGCACUAAAUGAAACUAGAUACAAGCGAGCGGCGGACGGGUGAGUAACACGUGGGUAACCUGCCCAAGAGACUGGGAUAACACCUGGAAACAGAUGCUAAUACCGGAUAACAACACUAGACGCAUGUCUAGAGUUUGAAAGAUGGUUCUGCUAUCACUCUUGGAUGGACCUGCGGUGCAUUAGCUAGUUGGUAAGGUAACGGCUUACCAAGGCAAUGAUGCAUAGCCGAGUUGAGAGACUGAUCGGCCACAUUGGGACUGAGACACGGCCCAAACUCCUACGGGAGGCAGCAGUAGAGAAUCUUCCACAAUGGACGAAAGUCUGAUGGAGCAACGCCGCGUGAGUGAAGAAGGGUUUCGGCUCGUAAAGCUCUGUUGGUAGUGAAGAAAGAUAGAGGUAGUAACUGGCCUUUAUUUGACGGUAAUUACUUAGAAAGUCACGGCUAACUACGUGCCAGCAGCCGCGGUAAUACGUAGGUGGCAAGCGUUGUCCGGAUUUAUUGGGCGUAAAGCGAGUGCAGGCGGUUCAAUAAGUCUGAUGUGAAAGCCUUCGGCUCAACCGGAGAAUUGCAUCAGAAACUGUUGAACUUGAGUGCAGAAGAGGAGAGUGGAACUCCAUGUGUAGCGGUGGAAUGCGUAGAUAUAUGGAAGAACACCAGUGGCGAAGGCGGCUCUCUGGUCUGCAACUGACGCUGAGGCUCGAAAGCAUGGGUAGCGAACAGGAUUAGAUACCCUGGUAGUCCAUGCCGUAAACGAUGAGUGCUAAGUGUUGGGAGGUUUCCGCCUCUCAGUGCUGCAGCUCACGCAUUAAGCACUCCGCCUGGGGA